rnacentral:rRNA from 1 species
UACGGGGGGGAGCAAGCGUUGUUCGGAUUUACUGGGCGUAAAGGGCGCGUAGGCGGCCACCGCAAGUCGACUGUGAAAUCUCCGGGCUUAACCCGGAAAGGUCAGCCGAUACUGCGGGGCUAGAGUGCAGAAGGGGCAACUGGAAUUCUCGGUGUAGCGGUGAAAUGCGUAGAUAUCGAGAGGAACACCUGCGGCGAAGGCGGGUUGCUGGGCUGACACUGACGCUGAGACGCGAAAGCCAGGGGAGCGAACGGG